AACGAACGCUGGCGGCAUGCCUAACACAUGCAAGUCGAACGAGACCUUCGGGUCUAGUGGCGCACGGGUGCGUAACGCGUGGGAACCUGCCCUUAGGUUCGGAAUAACUCCCCGAAAGGGGUGCUAAUACCGGAUAAUGUCUUCGGACCAAAGAUUUAUCGCCUUUGGAUGGGCCCGCGUUGGAUUAGCUAGUUGGUAGGGUAAAAGCCUACCAAGGCGACGAUCCAUAGCUGGUCUGAGAGGAUGAUCAGCCACACUGGGACUGAGACACGACCCAGACUCGUACGGAAGGCAGCAGUGUGGAAUAUUGGACAAGGGGCGAAAGCCUGAUCCAGCAAUGCCGCGUGAGUGAUGAAGGCCGUAGGGUUGUAAAGCUCUUUUACCCGGGAUGAUAAUGACGGUACCGGGAGAAUAAGCACCGGCUAACUCCGUG
rnacentral:rRNA from 1 species